rnacentral:rRNA from 1 species
GACGAACGCUGGCGGCGUGCUUAACACAUGCAAGUCGAGCGAGGCCCCUCCUUCGGGGUGGUGCCCUAGCGGCGAACGGGUGAGUAACACGUGGGCAACCUGCCCUCAGCUCUGGGAUAACUCCAAGAAAUUGGUGCUAAUACCGGAUGUGACUGCUGACCGCAUGGUCUGGUGGUGGAAAGAUUCAUCGGCUGAGGAUGGGCCCGCGGCCUAUCAGCUUGUUGGUGGGGUAAUGGCCCACCAAGGCGACGACGGGUAGCCGGCCUGAGAGGGUGACCGGCCACACUGGGACUGAGACACGGCCCAGACUCCUACGGGAGGCAGCAGUGGGGAAUAUUGCGCAAUGGGCGAAAGCCUGACGCAGCGACGCCGCGUGAGGGAUGACGGCCUUCGGGUUGUAAACCUCUUUCAGUAGGGACGAAGCGAAAGUGACGGUACCUACAGAAGAAGCACCGGCCAACUACGUG